rnacentral:rRNA from 1 species
AGUGAACGCUGGCGGUAGGCCUAACACAUGCAGGUCGAACGGCAGCACAGUAAGAGCUUGCUCUUACGGGUGGCGAGUGGCGGACGGGUGAGGAAUACAUCGGAAUCUACUUUUUCGUGGGGGAUAACGUAGGGAAACUUACGCUAAUACCGCAUACGACCUACGGGUGAAAGCAGGGGAUCUUCGGACCUUGCGCGAUUGAAUGAGCCGAUGGCGGAUUAGCUAGUUGGCGGGGUAAAGGCCCACCAAGGCGACGAUCCGUAGCUGGUCUGAGAGGAUGGUCCGGCCCCCCUGAACCGGGGCCCGGUCCCGGCUCCCUCGGGGGGGCAGCAGGGGGAAUUUUGGACCAUUGGGCGAAAGCCUGUCCGAGCAUCGCCGCGUGGGUGAGGAAGGCUUUCGGUUGGUAAACCCUUUUUUUGGGAAAGAAAAGCAGCAGGUUAAUACCCCGCUGUUCUGACGGUACCCAAAGAAUAAGCACCGGCUAACUUCGUG